rnacentral:rRNA from 1 species
UCCCGGCGGUCCAAGUCGCAUCCACAAUUAUUGGGUCUAAAACAUCCGUAGCUUGUUUUUUAAGUCUCUUGUGAAAUUCCAUAUCUCAAGUAUGGAGCGUGCAAGAGAUACUAUUAAACUAGAGACCGGAAGACGCAAAGAGUACGACGGAGGUAGCGGUAAAAUGUGUUAAUCUUUGUCGGACUAACAAUGGCGAAGGCACUUUGCGAGUACGGAUCUGACAGUGAGGGAUGAAGGCUAGGGGCGCAAAAGG